rnacentral:rRNA from 1 species
GACGAACGCUGGCGGCGUGCCUAAUACAUGCAAGUCGAGCGGGCCUCCGGAGGUGCUUGCACCUCCGGAAGGCCAGCGGCGGACGGGUGAGUAACACGUGGGCAACCUGCCUUUGAGGCCGGGAUAACACCGGGAAACCGGUGCUAAUACCGGAUACGUCCUCUUUCGCGCCUGCGAGAGGGGAGAAAGACGGUCUUUAAGGCCGUCGCUCAAAGAGGGGCCCGCGGCGCAGUAGCUGGUUGGUGGGGUAAGGGCCUACCAAGGCGACGAUGCGUUGCCGACCUGAGAGGGUGAUCGGCCACACUGGGACUGAGACACGGCCCAGACUCCUGCGGGAGGCAGCAGUAGGGAAUCAUCCGCAAUGGGCGAAAGCCUGACGGUGCAACGCCGCGUGAGUGAGGAAGGUUUUCGGAUCGUAAAGCUCUGUUGUGAGGGAAGAACAGCUUCCGGAGGAAAUGCCGGAGGUUUGCCGGUACCUCACCAGAAAGCCCCGGCUAACUGCGUGCCAGCAGCCGCCGUAA